UACGUAGGGUGCAAGCGUUUGUCCGGAAUUAUUGGGCGUAAAGAGCUCGUAGGCGGUCUGUCGCGUCUGCUGUGAAAACUCAGGGCUUAACCCUGAGCUUGCAGUGGGUACGGGCAGACUAGAGUGCGGUAGGGGAGACUGGAAUUCCUGGUGUAGCGGUGAAAUGCGCAGAUAUCAGGAGGAACACCGGUGGCGAAGGCGGGUCUCUGGGCCGUAACUGACGCUGGAGGAGCGAAAGCGUGGGGAGCGAACAGG
rnacentral:rRNA from 1 species